GGUCUGCUGAAGUGUCCAGCAAUAGGACGAAACGGCCGUCCAGUGU
rnacentral:hammerhead_ribozyme from 1 species